AGUGAACGCUGGCGGUAGGCCUAACACAUGCAAGUCGAACGGCAGCACAGUAAGAGCUUGCUCUUACGGGUGGCGAGUGGCGGACGGGUGAGGAAUACAUCGGAAUCUACUUUUUCGUGGGGGAUAACGUAGGGAAACUUACGCUAAUACCGCAUACGACCUACGGGUGAAAGCAGGGGAUCUUCGGACCUUGCGCGAUUGAAUGAGCCGAUGUCGGAUUAGCUAGUUGGCGGGGUAAAGGCCCACCAAGGCGACGAUCCGUAGCUGGUCUGAGAGGAUGAUCAGCCACACUGGAACUGAGACACGGUCCAGACUCCUACGGGAGGCAGCAGUGGGGAAUAUUGGACAAUGGGCGCAAGCCUGAUCCAGCCAUACCGCGUGGGUGAAGAAGGCCUUCGGGUUGUAAAGCCCUUUUGUUGGGAAAGAAAAGCAGCAGGUUAAUACCCCGCUGUUCUGACGGUGCCCAAAGAAUAAGCACCGGCGAACUUCGU
rnacentral:rRNA from 1 species